UACGGGGGGGGUAAGCGUUGUUCGGAAUUACUGGGCGUAAAGGGCUCGUAGGCGGCCAACUAAGUCAGACGUGAAAUCCCUCAGCUUAACUGGGGAACUGCGUCUGAUACUGGAUGGCUUGGAUUCGGGAGAGGAAUGCGGAAUUCCGGGUGUAGCGGUGGAAUGCGUAGAGAUCCGGAAGAACACCGGUGGCGAAGGCGGCCUGCUGGGCAGUUGCUGACACUGAGGCGCGACAGCGUGGGGAGCAAACAGG
rnacentral:rRNA from 1 species